AGAGUUUGAUCAUGGCUCAGAUUGAACGCUGGCGGCAGGCCUAACACAUGCAAGUCGAGCGGAUGAGAGGAGCUUGCUCCUCGAUUCAGCGGCGGACGGGUGGGUAAUGCCUAGGAAUCUGCCUGGUAGUGGGGGACAACGUUUCGAAAGGAACGCUGAUACCGCAUACGUCCUACGGGAGAAAGCAGGGGACCUUCGGGCCUUGCGCUAUCAGAUGAGCCUAGGUCGGAUUAGCUAGUUGGUGAGGUAAUGGCUCACCAAGGCGACGAUCCGUAACUGGUCUGAGAGGAUGAUCAGUCACACUGGAACUGAGACACGGUCCAGACUCCUACGGGAGGCAGCAGUGGGGAAUAUUGGACAAUGGGCGAAAGCCUGAUCCAGCCAUGCCGCGUGUGUGAAGAAGGUCUUCGGAUUGUAAAGCACUUUAAGUUGGGAGGAAGGGCAUUAACCUAAUACGUUAGUGUUUUGACGUUACCGACAGAAUAAGCACCGGCUAACUCUGUGCCAGCAGCCGCGGUAAUACAGAGGGUGCAAGCGUUAAUCGGAAUUACUGGGCGUAAAGCGCGCGUAGGUGGUUUGUUAAGUUGGAUGUGAAAGCCCCGGGCUCAACCUGGGAACUGCAUCCAAAACUGGCAAGCUAGAGUACGGUAGAGGGUGGUGGAAUUUCCUGUGUAGCGGUGAAAUGCGUAGAUAUAGGAAGGAACACCAGUGGCGAAGGCGACCACCUGGACUGAUACUGACACUGAGGUGCGAAAGCGUGGGGAGCAAACAGGAUUAGAUACCCUGGUAGUCCACGCCGUAAACGAUGUCAACUAGCCGUUGGAAUCCUUGAGAUUUUAGUGGCGCAGCUAACGCAUUAAGUUGACCGCCUGGGGA
rnacentral:rRNA from 1 species